GAUGAACGCUGGCGGCGUGCUUAACACAUGCAAGUCGAACGGAAAGGCUCCUGCUUGCCGGGGUACUCGAGUGGCGAACGGGUGAGUAACACGUGGGUGAUCUGCCCUGCACUUCGGGAUAAGCCUGGGAAACUGGGUCUAAUACCGGAUAGGACGAUGGUUUGGAUGCCAUUGUGGAAAGUUUCUCGGUGUGGGAUGAGCUCGCGGCCUAUCAGCUUGUUGGUGGGGUAAUGGCCUACCAAGGCGUCGACGGGUAGCCGGCCUGAGAGGGUGUACGGCCACAUUGGGACUGAGAUACGGCCCAGACUCCUACGGGAGGCAGCAGUGGGGAAUAUUGCACAAUGGGCGCAAGCCUGAUGCAGCGACGCCGCGUGGGGGAUGACGGCCUUCGGGUUGUAAACUCCUUUCGCUAGGGACGAAGCGCAAGUGACGGUACCUGGAGAAGAAGCACCGGCUAACUACGUG
rnacentral:rRNA from 1 species